UACAGAGGUCUCAAGCGUUGUCCGGAAUCAUUGGGCGUAAAGAGCGUGUAGGCGGCCAGACAGGUCAGCUGUGAAAACUCGAGGCUCAACCUCGAGACGUCGGUUGAAACCGUCUGGCUAGAGUCCGGAAGAGGAGAGUGGAAUUCCCGGUGUAGCGGUGAAAUGCGCAGAUAUCGGGAAGAACACCCGUGGCGAAGGCGGCUCUCUGGGACGGUACUGACGCUGAGACGCGAAAGCGUGGGGAGCGAACAGG
rnacentral:rRNA from 1 species